UAUAUAUAUAUCGGAAGGAAAAUAUAAACAUAGGGGGUUCAUGCAUCAUGGGGAAUGUUUUCAUGCUUCAAGGUCAUUUCAAAUAUCUUACUUUAUUUUAAGCUUACCUGAUUGGCAAAAAACGAUAAAAGCCUUUGAAUUUGUUGAAGAUCCUUCUCGAAAAGUCGGAAUUGCUUCCCCAAUGCGUUGUAUCAUGUUCAACAUAGAAAAAUUAAAUUGAAUAAAUAGCAUGUGGAUCAAUUCAAUAAAAUAAGAAGUAAUCAUAACAAGAAUGAUUAAAACGUAAUACUCCCCUGAUUGAAGAAUAAACUCUCUUUAGCGCAGGGUCAAAAGCGUGCUGAUAACGUGUUGUAGGCAUAAUUUACGAAAUAAUUAUGGAGGCCAUAGGAAGAGGGGUGCGGCAAUAGGUAGAGAGAAUGAGAGAGAUGUGUAAUUGUGGGUGUGUGUUUUUCCACCCUCAUUGUGCCUUUAUUUAUAGUAGUAGGAUAGGUAAAAACUUUUCCCUUUAGGAUUACAACAUUUAAUAGGUAAUCAACUCCUAAUAGGAAUAUAAGAUACAUUCUCAUAUCUACUAGGAUUUACACAAUCACAUUCCUAAUCUAAUAGGACUGCAACACUUUCUACCCCUUUUUACUAGGAAUGACAAUUCUAACCGUUAAACCCGAUAACCGUGGAUAACGGUCCGAAUGGAUUGGAUUUUGAUAUGAAAAUUCGGGUAUGGUAUGGAUAUGGGGAAAAACCGUGAACUUUAUUCGGUUAUGAUUUUGGAUAUGGUUAUAGGGGUCCCCAAUCCGUAUCCGUCCCCGAAUCCGACC
rnacentral:lncRNA from 1 species